rnacentral:misc_RNA from 1 species
CGAAAAGAAAAUCCGGGAAAUGUGCGUUCUGAGGCCCGGGCAGCGCAGCGUAGCAACCUACUGGCGAGGUGGAGGCGGGAGGACUCGCGCCACACCACACCUCGUAGGCUUCCUCGCCGGCUUUUCUCUACCUCGUGAAGGUCAGAUAGGUGGAGCAAGGAGUCCGAUGGGAGUCCUGCUCCAUGUGCAUACGUCAGGGAGUAGACAAAGGGCGCAACAAGCAGGAGGCAGCAGUAUUUGUAUACAGAACCUGUCAACUUUUGAGCGAGCCACUAUUACACAACCACAUCUUCCCGGGAACAUCAUGACGUCACUCCCAGCCGACCGGCGCGACGUAACACGCUGUGACGUUUACUAGCUCCGCCUCUAUACUGCAACUGAUGCCACUGGUUGGUCGGUGAGAGGGGGGCGGAGCUUCUUGGAGUUGAGGAUAGUACUAUACAAACGAAUACCCAGUGCAAUCAGUUCCUCGCCUGAACUUCUAGGUGAUACAGCUUUAGUGCCGUGUUCCCUCGCACUCACAGACAUAAUAUCACUUUUGGAACAUUGUCGCCACCAACUGAGCUUUUUAUUGAGGCUCUGUCUUCAUAAUAUUUUCUUUAGUGGAUGUUCUUCAACACCACAUUAUGGUUGCUGAGACUGUAAAGUCCUACCCGGUGAACUACCCGGCACUCAUCCCGCUCACGCCCUCAGUGCCCGGCCUGGGAAGCUACAACCCCUGUUCUCCCUCUCUCCUCCAUCCCA